CUUCCGCCUGCUCCUGCCUCUUAAAAAGGGCAGCCUCGUGUCACUCUCUCUCUCCCUUCGCACAUCAUGGCUGACCGGAUCAAUAAGGACACAACGUGGUGCUUGCGAGAUGUGAAGGUAUCAACAUCUCCGCCGACUUCUAUCGCAACAAACUGACGUAUCAUGCUUUUCUGCACAAAAGGAUGAGCACCACCUUACCACUGCAGAGCUCCCAGCAUGGUCUUCUGGAGUACCAUCAGAGGCAUGUUGCCCCAUAAAACCAAGAGAGGCCAGGCUGUGCUGGAGAGGCUGAAGGUGUUUGAUGGCAUCCCUGCCCUAUGACAAGGGGAAGGGCAUGUUGUCCAAGCUGCCCUUAAGGUUGAAGCCCAUCCUGUGGUAUUUUCUUGAGGACAAGGAUGAUUCUCAGCCAUGCCUUCAGUCACAACUAACAUGAGAGACAAACGUGGAGAGGCUUGAGACCUCACAUCAGGACUUUCGUCACAUGAGAAUUUCUUCCGACCAGCACCACCAUGAAGAAAUUGAACGUCUACAGUGCGAGAUCGACGGCACAAAGAUCAGGAAGCUGAAGCAUGAAGACCGUUAAAACUUCCAGUUGAUUGUGCUAUAAGCACUUGAAAGUUAUUAAAGCUAUGAAACAAUUCCGUUGCACAUUGUGAUCCAAGUUGUACACUGUUUUCAAAUUGAUCCCGUUUUGUAGUAGGCAAUGGCAAGUGUGCUAUAUGUAGCAGGCAAAGUGGCAUAAUCUAAACAUGUGUGCUUUAAAUGUCAACAGCAUACUGUCCUACUUGUGUAAUUAAAGUGCUGUUGUAAACA